ACAGCUGUGUAGCUCUACAGGGAAGCUGAGGUGCAGAGUGAGAAGUGAAGCGACCUGGCAAAGGGCGCCAAGCUAGGAACUUCAGAGCUCAGCAGGACAAGUUUCCCCGUCUGUGAGAACAGCUGCUGCAGGUUAUGUAUUAGGGAAACCUGCACCCACCUCGUCCACGGAUGGAUACAGGGCAAAGAUCUCAGCCUGCCGAUUGGUCUUGCGCGCCUCCUCUUUCUCCUUCUCAAAGUCCUCGGCACUCACAAGCUGCAGCAGGUUCUCCAGCCGCUCAUCAGGCUGCAGGCUGCGGAGGUCGAAGUCACAAGUGAGUUCUUUGGGAGAAGACCUGGUGUGGGAUUUCUUAAGUCUGCCAACUUCUUGAAAGUUAUUCUCAACCUUAGAACUCCAGGGAGCCACAUGGAGGAGAACGGCAGGCCGCCUUCGUGCAUAAAGGAAAAAAAAAAGCUGGGGCAGGGGAACAGCAAGAUGGCUCAAUGGUUGGUGCUGGCCACCAUGGCUUAUGGCUUGAGAGAGGAGCAUCCCCAGGAAGUUGUUUUCUCAUCUCUGUG